AGCGCAGGCGGACUUGUGUGUCGGACGUGAAAUACCGGGGCUUAACCCCGGUGCUGCGUCCGAAACUACGAGUCUAGAGACUUGGAGGGGUAAGCGGAAUUCUUGGUGGAGCAGUGAAAUGCGUAGAUAUCAAGAGGAACACCAACGGCGAAGGCAGCUUACUGGACAAGAUCUGACGCUCAGGCUCGAAAGCGUGGGGAGCAAAAG
rnacentral:rRNA from 1 species